GUCGAACGCUGGCGGCGUGCUUAACACAUGCAAGUCGAACGCGCGGCGGACUGGUGAGUAAUGUAUGGGGAAUGCACGAUAGAGGGGGAUCACUACUGGAAACGGUGGCUAAUACCGCAUACUCCCGGUUAACCCAUAUGGGAUUAGGUAGUAGGUGGGGUAAAGGCUCACCUAUGCGACGAUCUCUAGCUGGUCUGAGAGGAUGGUCAGUCACACUGGGACUUAGACACCUCCCAGACUCCUACGGAGGCAGCGUUGGGGAAUAUUGCACAAUGUGCGCAAGCCUGAUGCAGCCAUGCCGCUUGUAUGAAGAAGGCCGUCGGGUUGUAAAGAACUUUUAGCGGGUAGGCGUUACCCGCGCAAGAAGCACCGGCUAACUCCGUGCCUGCAGCCGCGGUAAUUC
rnacentral:rRNA from 1 species